GAUGGAGAGUGUAGAGAUUAGAGAGAGAUUAGAGUGAGAGAGAGAUCAUCCAUUAAUUACUAAAUAUUCCCUAAGAUUUACAAAUCUCUUUAAAGAUACACAAGAUCAUCCAAAUCAAAUACAAUCUUGCAAAAGUUUCCUCUCUCUUCUCCACCCCAUUUUCGAUCACUCUCUCUCUCCCCUUCAUCUCUCUACUUUCCUCCAUUGUUAGCCAUAGAUGAGACCUCCGAAGCUCUACCAAAGUAUGCAAAACACAUAAAUCACUACUUAAAUCCUCCAUAAACACUUCCAUCUCCUUAAAUUCAAGAGAAUCCUUAAAGUUUGGUUUCAAGAAUAGUGAGAGAAAAUUUGGAUAAUUGGUGAAAACUUGGACACGAGCAGAGCAAGGAAGUAAGUAACUCCACUUCGACGGGAGUUUUUGAGUAAGGUCUUCAGGCUAAGCAAGGAGUGAGAUUGGUCUGGUGCUGGUGGGGGAUCGUUAGAUGACGUAUUUGCUUUAUCGUAUUUCCUUUUUAUCGAUAAAGUCUCGAUGUGAAGUUACCUUGUAUAUGAAUCAAGUAAUAUACUCACGGUUAUGUGUCUCCAUACAUGUAACUGGUUCACCUUUUGCUGCGAUACUCUGCAUAUUAUGUUUCCUUAUGAAAAAUAAGCUAUACCUGUUUUGUUUUUGUUCGUGAAAUUCCUGAUAAUUAAAAAGUUAUAACGACGUUGACGAUUUUACCCUUGGGUUCAAUUAAUAAUAUUUUCCUUAGCAUGUUUUGAUGUGAGCUUCCGCUUGAUGUUCGACCUAUUCUUCUUAUCUUUUAUUCUUUAAAAAUAGUCGUAUCGA